rnacentral:rRNA from 1 species
UGGGGAAUAUUGGACAAUGGGCGCAAGCCUGAUCCAGCAAUGCCGCGUGUGUGAAGAAGGUCUUCGGAUUGUAAAGCACUUUCGCCGGGGACGAUGAUGACGGUACCCGGAGAAGAAGCCCCGGCUAACUUCGUGCCAGCAGCCGCGGUAAUACGAAGGGGGCUAGCGUUGCUCGGAAUGACUGGGCGUAAAGGGCGCGUAGGCGGACAGCACAGUCAGAUGUGAAAUUCCCGGGCUCAACCUGGGGACGGCAUUUGAGACGUGUUGUCUGGAGUGGGGAAGAGGGUCGUGGAAUUCCCAGUGUAGAGGUGAAAUUCGUAGAUAUUGGGAAGAACACCGGUGGCGAAGGCGGCGACCUGGUCCUUGACUGACGCUGAGGCGCGAAAGCGUGGGGAGCAAACAG